rnacentral:rRNA from 1 species
UUUGCUGGCGAGUGGCGGACGGGUGAGUAAUGCAUGGGAAUGUGCCCGGUAGAGGGGGAUAACUACUGGAAAGGGUGGCUAAUACCGCAUAAGCUCUACGGGGGAAAGCAGGGGACCUCCGGGCCUUGCGCUAUUGGAUCGGCCCAGGUCGGAUUAGGUAGUUGGUGGGGUAAAGGCUCACCAAGGCGACGAUCCCUAGCUGGUCUGAGAGGAUGAUCAGCCACACUGGGACUGAGACACGGUCCAGACUCCUACGGGAGGCAGCAGUGGGGAAUAUUGCACAAUGGGGGAAAGCCUGAUGCAGCCAUGCCGCGUGCGUGAAGAAGGCCUUCGGGUUGUAAAGCACUUU